AUGGGAACUAAAAUUUCCUCUGGUAACCGUGCGAGCCGUAGAGCGUAUCGAGGCUUAUCGGAUCAUGCACCCAUCAUUCUGGAUUCUAACUCUACGAACCCAGCCACCCGACGCCCUUUCAAAUUUGAAUUGGGAUGGCUGCAUAGGGACGGAUUCGUAGACAUGAUCAAGAAUGUUUGGGAGAGGCCCGCUGUUGGUCGUACACCUAUUCAGCGAUGGAUCUUUAAAAUAAGAGCCAUGAGGCGACACCUCUCUGGAUGGGCAAAACACACCAACGGAAUUUAUAAAAAGGAAAAACAAAGGCUCUGUACCAUCAUUGAUGAGCUCGACAAAAUUGCAGAGACGCGCACAUUAUCUCAGCAAGAGAUUGAAUUGAAAAAUCAAUCUAAUGAGAUGGUUGCCCGUCUACUGUGA
rnacentral:rRNA from 1 species